UUUCUCCUUCUACUGUUUUUCCCUACCUCUUUCGUUUUCCUUUUCUUAUUUCCUCUACUGUUUUUCCCUAACCCUCAUCUUCUCCUUUUUAUCUCCCAAGCCAGCCUUGUUCUUUGUGCGCCAUGACCAAGCCUCUCUUUCUUUCAAUCAGACCCAUUCUUCUCCUUGCUUGCCUCUGUCGAUCGCAUGGACUUAAAUUUAUGUAUAUGUACCAGCAAUACAUGAGAAGAAGAUAUAGAAAACGGUACCAUUGUGGCUUUACUGGCGGCAUUCAAGCACUUCGGGCACAUGUUGCUGAACUGCUUAUAUUGCCUAAGUGAAAUUGAAGGAUUUCGAAAGAUUUAACAAAGUAGUUGAUGAGUUCCAGAUUCUGAAGUUUUCUAAAGAAUAUCGAUGAUUUCGAUUUCGGCCAACAUGGUUUGUUCAGUUUUCAACCGCACUCCGUCGUGACUAGUGUCCGAAGAGCACUCAAAUGGUCCUUGGAAUAUGUCCUCAAACAGAAUGUCUUCCAGAAAGCGGGACGCUCUUCCGAAGAGGUAGAAGAGAAAGAAAUAAACGCUUGUAUGUGCAAGGUUUACGAAAUUGACAAACUGACAAACUCAGAGACACAUAUUAGUUUUUGUUUCGCCCUUUUUGAAGACCCUUCAGAAUCUGGGAGAUUUUUAAUUAUCUUCCUAACAAAUUUUUGAGGUAUCAAUAUGUUAUUAGGAAAUAUGACGAAUGUUUUGCCCGUAGUGGGCCAGUUAUCUGUAUAUAUUUAUUUGUAUGUGCAAGGUUUACGAAAUUGACGAACUGACAAACUCAGAGACACAUAUUAA